UUUAACAAAGCUGCCAGGAGGACCCCCUCAUGCCCAAGCAUCUGCUCAUUUGCCCUGUUUAGCAAAGAUUUUCCAUUCUGUUGUGGAGGAAAAGUAAAUGGAAGCAAUCAUGGUCCUUUUCAAGUGCCUGUAUGUUACUUGCUGAAACAAAUAUGGAAAGGUAUUUUCUGAAUUUGUGUCAUUUUGAACACUUACAAAACUUCUAAAAAAGUCUGAAUCGAGAAAACUGUAGUUGUAUUUUAAUGUUCUUUUUAAUUUAUUAAGCAUAAAUCCCCUUUUUAAUAUUUUUAAAUUACUUCAAUGUGGCUCUUCCUAUCCCAUUGAAAGAACACACAUCAUGCAGCAGUAGCUGUGGGUUUUUGGUGGAACAGCUGUGUAAAUGGCUUCAUAAAAGUUUCAUUGCUGUUUUGUGUGCAUACAGAACUUAUGCCCUGCAUAAGACUAGUCUUGGGUUUUGUAAUUUUUUCAUAAUACGGAGGAAGAGAUGUAUACAUUACAUUAUUUAACUAUUUGAUUUUUGUAUACUUCAUGUUUUAGAGCAAGGCAGAACAUUGUCUAACUUAACAGUUAUCAACUAAGUAAUAAAAAAAAUUGCACAAGACAGAAGAAGCAUUGUAAUAUUUAACACUGAUUGACUAACUUAGUUAAUUCUUUUUCUAUAGCUAAUUCUAAACUUCAAUGAAUGUGUUCUGUCUCCAUGAGAUUAACCCAUUUAAGUUUUUGAAAAUACAGUCUACCACAAUGACAACUGUUGAGAAGAUCAUUGCAAUAUUAAAGUCUCCCAGUUGUCUCCUGAUAAUUAUGUGAUUUAACAGAAGGGUCAAGAAGGUAGCAUGGUUGUGCUACAUAGAUUUCAUCUUAAAAAACUGAAUUUGCUAGUGUGCCCUUCUUGUGUGUCAUAGAACAGGGUUAAAAUCCUCAAAAUAAAUUAGUGUGGGUGUAGAGGUUGGCCACUGCACUGCAGAUUUUUUUGUCAGCUAACCAAAUUUCUGUACUGUCUUGGAGUUGCUAUGAUGAAUUGUCCAUGUGAAUGAAGACUUCUAGGUUAGCUGGAGCUCUGAAGGCUGCCCUUCACAACUGUCAUUGUCCCACAUGGUGUCUGGCUCAAUGAAUAAAAGUGUCCACCCUGUCGGAUAGGAUUGGAAAUGAGUUACUCGUGUCAUGGUACAUUCAUUUUUUCCUGCAGUUCAAGAUUGGGAUCAGCCUUUUGAAAGGAGCAUAUUGUGAGAUCUCGCCAGUAUAUAUCUUUAUCACAGUAUCUAGCCAUACGCAUAGUAUCUUCUGGCUUGUGUAUCACAGGGAAUAGUAAGGAUAAAGUACACUCUCCCUCACACAUACUGCUUUAUCUCCAUCAGCCAAAGAGUUGCUCUGAAUGAAUGGCUUUAUGGUGUGGUCCAGUCCUAUCAAUAUUUGUACCAACUGUUUAAAGUGUAUAGAACUAAAAGUGUACUGGUGCAUGCUGGAAUUUGCAAAGAAGACACCCAACUCCAGUUAAAAUGCCUUGAAAAUCCCUUCCUUAACUUAAUAUUGGAAUAGUGAUAUAUGCAUAAGACAAGAUCUGUGCCCCCAAAGAGUUCAAACACAAAUUUAAACAUUCUGUAGAACCUCAUUAUUUCACACUGACUAGGAGGUUCAUUGAAAAGGAUUAUGAAUUAGUAAUUAAACUAUAUUUUGUUCAUUUCAAGUUAUUUAUACUGAUAAUUAUGCUGUAUGGUUUAUGUUUUUACAAUUAUGGUAAUAGGUAUACUAGUAAAAUGUAGAUAUUUUGUGAUGUUACAAAGUUUUUAGUAAAAAGACCAAGGCUCUGCUAUUAAACCUUUGCUGGGAUCAAAGUUUUAUAUAAAAAAUGUUUAUGAUAACAUAGUGAGUAAAUUGCUCCACACAUUUACUGAUGCUCAGUGGGUGAUUACCAUGAUGGUGCCAUUAUUUUUCACAUUUUUUACCUAUAUAUUUUGGACACUUGUGAACCAAAACAAGGUAGAAACACAUCAAAAGAUGCAAAUAUUCUUUAUGCUUUACGAUGCAUUCUGCAUUCUAUUGCUCAACAGUCUUGAAGAAGCCUUGUAUGAGACAAAAUGUUAGCAGUGUAUGUAGGGUGACCAGAUGUCCCAAUUUUAUAGGGACAGUCCAGAUUUUUGGGUCUUUUUCUUAUAUAGGCUCCUAUUACCCCUCUACCCCGUCCCGAUUUUUCACAUUUGCUGUCUGGUCACCCUAAUUGUAUGGAAAUGCACCACUGCUGAUUUGUUUUUGGCCAGCAUGUGCGUUGACAUGAUGAAAAGGAGCGUUAGAUAAUUUUGAUUGCUUUCACUCUUUCAUAAAGAUGCAACUAAUUUCCAUAUUUGUCCCACCCUCUUAUAAAAAUCUAGAUGGGCUACUGACAACAUUAGACACUUUGAAACUAGGGGGCGAGUAGGAAUAGCUCCAUAUGUAUUUCGUGAUCUACUGUUACUAUGCCACCUAAAAUGAAAGAUUAAGCUACUAGUAACAUAAUUUCUUUCACAAAAUACAGAAAAUUGCAACAAAGUAGGGCAUGAUUGCAAUUUAAGGGAAAUGGUGCAGAUAAAUCCACUUUAAUGGAUCUGUUUCGAAGAUGUAGAAAUCUUAGUACUCAUUUAUUCUUUUUGGCUGGCUGACCUUAGUGAGAAGAAAUGCAGGACUCUUCUGGUUUGUGGUUCAAUAGCGUUAGGUGUGCAGUCUUUUUUAUUUUUCCUAAAUUGAAGUAAAUGAUUUCCACAGUCUUGGAAAGGUGAGGUUGUCAAUAAUUAAGGCAAUUCAGAAAUAUUUUCAUUUUCUCAGUGUAUUUCUCAUGUUUGAGUUAAACUAAAUUGCCUCGGUAUUCUGAGAUCCUGGGCUUUAUUUUCAUUUAGAGGAAUCUACACCAGCUAGUAAGUGGAGAAAGCUGAUGGAGCAAGAAUGAUCACUAUGAUUUAAUUGCAGUGGGAGGAAAAAUUGAAGCUGGGCUUGGACCAUCGAUUUCCUUGUAACUCAAGAGGAGCCGGACACAGCCACCCCAAUGCCAAGUCAGCAGAUGGACAGCUCUGCUGUGAAAGAAUUUCUGAAUAAUUGUAAAAUACAAAUUUUUCAGGGAGCGAUUGCAAAACUCCUGUCAACUUCACAACAUUGCAACUGACAAAUCCUGCAGGGUUUAUUCGGACUUUAUUUUGGGUUAAAAUGUAAAGGUCAAAUUAUUUUAUAUUAGGGUUUAGCUUUUAGUUCUGGACUAAUGGGGUAGUAUGUAUAAUUUUUUUAUGAUAUUUACUGUCACUAUUAAAAAUAUGCCUUUCUUUUUACCCAGUGCAGCCAAAAGCAAGGAGUUUGGCUUGUAAACCAGGGCUGCCUUUCCACUGAAACCUGUUAAACCAAAUAUGACAUCUUCAAUACAAUUUUCUAAGUCUUUUAGUUUUAAUUGAUAACUCCUAUGCCCAACUUCUCACAGAUGAGCAAGUUUUAGGAGUCCGUUCCUCCACUUUUAAUAAAUGCUUUAAAAAGUC